UAUACUUCUUUUAUUCAAAAGGACUGCACCAAUAAACAGAGUGUGGAGCUGUUGAGGAGAGUUCUGUCUCAGCUUCUGGAGUCUCUCAACAAGGAGAUACAGUAGGCCAGUUUGCUGACUUUGAUCUGAAAAGAAUUCAGCAAUAUGCAGUGGAUGUGACUCUGGAUCCUGAUACAGCUCAUCCUGAACUCAUCCUGUCUCAAGAUGGGAAACAAGUAAGACAUGGAGACUUGCGACAGAAUCUCCUUCAUAACCCAGAGAG